rnacentral:rRNA from 1 species
CCCUUAGAUGUCCUGGGCCGCACGCGCGCUACACUGAACGGAUCAGCGCGUUUUCCCUUCCCGAGAGGGACGGGUAACCUGCCGAACCCCGUUCGUGGUAGGGAUCGGGGCUUGCAAUUAUUCAUCUUCAACGAGGAAUUCCUAGUAAACGCAAGUCAUCAGCUUGCAUUGAUUACGUCCCUGCCCUUUGUACACACCGCCCGUCGCACCUACCGAUUGAAUGGUCCGGUGAAAUCUUCGGAUCUGAGAGAUGUCUGAUUAAUUUCGGACGCCUUUUGGAAAAGUUGCUUAAACCUUACCAUUUAGAGGAAGGUGAANUCGUANCA